rnacentral:rRNA from 1 species
GAUGAACGCUGGCGGCGUGCCUAAUACAUGCGAGUCGAGCGAACAGACGAGGAGCUUGCUCCUCUGACGUUAGCGGCGGACGGGUGAGUAACACGUGGAUAACCUACCUAUAAGACUGGGAUAACUUCGGGAAACCGGAGCUAAUACCGGAUAAUAUAUUGAACCGCAUGGUUCAAUAGUGAAAGACGGUUUUGCUGUCACUUAUAGAUGGAUCCGCGCCGCAUUAGCUAGUUGGUAAGGUAACGGCUUACCAAGGCAACGAUGCGUAGCCGACCUGAGAGGGUGAUCGGCCACACUGGAACUGAGACACGGUCCAGACUCCUACGGGAGGCAGCAGUAGGGAAUCUUCCGCAAUGGGCGAAAGCUUGACGGAGCAACGCCGCGUGAGUGAUGAAGGUCUUCGGAUUGUAAAACUCUGUUAUUAGGGAAGAACAAAUGUGUAAGUAACUAUGCACGUCUUGACGGUACCUAAUCAGAAAGCCACGGCUAACUACGUG